rnacentral:rRNA from 1 species
AACGAACGCUGGCGGCAUGCCUAACACAUGCAAGUCGCACGCGACCUUCGGGUCUAGUGGCGCACGGGUGCGUAACGCGUGGGAAUCUGCCCUCUGGUACGGAAUAACUCAGGGAAACUUGAGCUACUACCGUAUAAUGACUUCGGUCCAAGGGUUUAUCGCCUGAGGAUGAGCCCGCGUCGGAUUAGCUAGUUGGUGAGGUAAAGGCUCACCAAGGCGACGAUCCGUAGCUGGUCUGAGAGGAUGAUCAGCCACACUGGGCCUGAGACACGGACCAGACUCCGACGGGAGGCAGCAGUGGUGAAUAUGGUACAAUGGGCGAAAGUCUGAUCCAGCAAGGCCGCGUGAGGGAUGAAGGCCUUAGGGUUGUAAAGCUCGUGUACCCGGGAUGAUAAGGACAGUACCGGGAGAAUAAGCCCCGGCUAACUCCGUGGAAGCCGCCGCCGUUA